GACGUAGGUGGCAAGCGUUGUUCGGAAUCACUGGGCAUAAAAGCGCACGUAGGCGGCCAAGUAAGUCAGGUGUGAAAUACCUCGGCUCAACCGAGGAACUGCGCCUGAUACUGCUUGGCUUGAGGUCCGGAGGGGAGAGUGGAAUUCCCGGUGGAGCGGUGAAAUGCGUAGAGAUCGGGAAGAACGCUGGCGGCGAAAGCGACUCUCUGGUCGGAAUCUGACGCUGAGGUGCGAAAGCUAGGGGAGCAAACGGG
rnacentral:rRNA from 1 species